UACGUAGGGUGCAAGCGUUGUCCGGAAUUAUUGGGCGUAAAGGGCUCGUAGGCGGUCCUGCAAGUCGGGGGUGAAAGCCCGAGGCUCAACCUCGGAACUGCCUUCGAUACUGCGGGUCUCGAGUCCGGGAGAGGUGAGUGGAAUUCCUAGUGUAGAGGUGAAAUUCGUAGAUAUUAGGAAGAACACCAGUGGCGAAGGCGGCUCACUGGCCCGGUACUGACGCUGAGGCGCGAAAGCGUGGGGAGCAAACAGG
rnacentral:rRNA from 1 species